rnacentral:miRNA from 1 species
UGGGAAACCUGUGUCGGGCUGUG